GAGGGUAGAACUUAGUGGUAGAGUGCAUGCCUAGCAUGCAUGAGAUUCUGGGUUCAAUCCCCAGGACCUCCG
rnacentral:tRNA from 1 species